GUCAUACUCCCUCCGUCCCAAAUUACUCGUCGCUGAAAUGGAUGUAUCUAGAACUAAAAUACAUCUAGAUACAUCCAUACGUGCGACAAGUAAUUCGGAACGGAGGGAGUACAUG
rnacentral:pre_miRNA from 1 species